GGAAGAUUCUCAUCCGGUGGAAGAAUCCCAAGCUUUCUCAACUGUAAAAAAAAGUUGUUUUUUUAAAUGGAUUGUAUCCUCCCUGCUCAACCUUGUCAAAGAAAAGAAAACAGUAUAGAUAUAGUAAUGGAUCCGGUACCAGAGGGAUAAACCACAGACUUUACAAAAGACUUCCAUUAUAAAGCUAUACAUUAAGUUCAUAGAAAGAUACCAAGAAGAUAGAAUUAAAUAUAUUUGUACCAUGCAGGAAGUGUACUACUGAGCACCAACACUUCUUCCCUGCUACAAAUUAACAAAUUUUGAGUUUCUCACAUGAGUGGAUACUCUACCUAAAUAUUUAUUCGAUAUUAAAACUGUAGAAAGAGAAAUGUACAUUUCCUGGUAUAUGGUAGUUGUAUUUUGGACAGCAGUGAUGGUGUGGAAUAUUAAUACUUAGACCUGCUGGUCUUAUAUAUAUAUACAUAUAUUGUCAUAUCAAUCUGGCUGGACAUGAUGACAUUUUGAUGAUAAACAUCAUUUACAUGUCCAGCAAAAGUCACCAUUUAUCAACCUUAAUCCCUCAGAUUCGUGAAUCAGAAUAAACUUCCCAUGAAUGUCUUUUGUUGGAUUAUUAUCAUUAUUAAUAACCGUAAUUCAUCACCGAGAUUACAAACAGGUAAAAACACUUCUGGGAUUUUAAAAUCCACUUCUCAAUCACAUUUUUAAAUGAAUGCAUGCUUGCAUGUUUUCUUGAUUGUGUGGCAUGGAGCUAGAUAUUUAAGAACUUAAUUGUUCAUGCCACCAUAAACAGCAACACAAUUCAUCCUUGUAGGAUAAUUCAACUGAUUUUAUAUCUUAAUUCAAGUUCAAAUUCACAUCUCUCCUUUUCAAAAAUUUCUUCUUGAAUUUUAUUCAUGUUACACAGUUAGGAGGUACAAAAGGACGAAUAGCCAAGUAUUUCGGUCUUGAAAUUCAAUGUGAAAGAAAUACUGUGAGAGCUUAUAAGUGAAGACCAAGGGAAUAUUUUUUUUAUAGAAGUUACCAUGAGUAAUCAAUCAUGAGAAAUGAUUUUUCAUACUCAAGAUUUGGUUAUGAAUGCUUUUUAAUGCAGGCAUUACCUUCAGGAAUUUAUAACAUUUAUAGAGAUACACAUGUAGUUUAUAAAUACAUGUAUUUAGAUCAUUGCUAGAAAAUCUAUGUUCUUAUCGAACUUCCUUACUUCCUCGAAAAAUGAAUCAUAUUUAUGAUUGUUAGCUAUCUCUGAGUGUCCAUGCAGAUGGUACACAAUGAAUGCAUGGAAGCCCCACUCCUAAAUACCAGUAGCUUUAUUUCUGAUAAAUCACAAAUUUGAGUAAAUUACGUAACACCUACUCAUGCCCUCAGAACAAUAAUUGUUUUAUUACCCCAGGACACUGCUCUUAUCAGUAGCAGUAUUUACAGGUAAUUCAAGGAAUUUUUUUUUAAAUUGGUAUGUUUGAACACUGAGACUCUGAAGCCUAACGGCUUCCCAUUUUGUGUGCCUCACUUAUGUUUAUACUUAGAACUUGUACAAUACUGAUGAGCUUAUAUGGCUCAAAG